GAACAUUAGCUCGAUCCCUUCCUGCUAUCUGAGCCAGCUGCUCAGUCACAGUAGCCAGUGCGGCUUGGAGUUCAGCAUGGUUAGCCAUCAGCUGAGCAUUAAUCUCGGCUUGUGUUGGUGCUCCAUUUAGGUCUCCCAUCUUUUCCUGCGACAAGAGAGGAAAGAAAAAGUGACUUGCAAAGAAUCAAAGAAGAAGGAAAGGAUAUUUAACUAAAGUAUGCAAUGAAGGUAAAACUUCCCUUUUUUUUUUGUUAAAAUCGAAAAUUUAAAAAUGGGAAAGUACAAUCUUUUUUUUUUUUUAAAUAUGGAAAAACUUGAAGUGCAAGCCAAGAAAAUUAAAUGCAAUUAAAUGGAAAUCCGAUCAAAAAGGAAAGUAAAAAUCGAUGGAUGCCAAAAACAAGUUACUUGAAUGAAAGAUGCACAAAAAUGGAUCAAAAGAUAUGCAAGAAAACCAGUUUGAACUCGC
rnacentral:lncRNA from 1 species